rnacentral:rRNA from 1 species
GAUAAACGCUGGCGGCGCACAUAAGACAUGCAAGUUGAACGGACUUAAUCGAAAUAUUUAUAUUUUGAAGCGGUUAGUGGCGGACUGGUGAGUAACGCGUAAGGAACCUGCCUAUUAGAGGGGAAUAACAGUGAGAAAUCAUUGCUAAUACCGCAUAUGCCAUAGAUAUCACAUGAUAACAGUGGGAAAGGAGCAAUCCGCUAAUAGAUGGCCUUGCGUCUGAUUAGAUAGUUGGUGGGGUAACGGCCUACCAAGUCGACGAUCAGUAGCCGGACUGAGAGGUUGAACGGCCACAUUGGGACUGAGAUACGGCCCAGACUCCUACGGGAGGCAGCAGUCGGGAAUAUUGUGCAAUGGAGGAAACUCUGACGCAGUGACGCCGCGUAUAGGAAGAAGGUUUUCGGAUUGUAAACUAUUGUCGUUAGGGAAGAGAAAGGACAGUACCUAAGGAGGAAGCUCCGGCUAACUACGUG